rnacentral:tRNA from 1 species
ACAUUGGUGGUUCAGUGGUAAAAUUCUUGCCUUCCAUGUAGGAGACCUAGGUUCAAUUCCCAGCCAAUGUA